rnacentral:sRNA from 1 species
UAUGUUACAGGCAUCGCUGGUGCAUAAU